CGGGGCAUGGCGCAGCCUGGUAGCGCACCUGCUUUGGGAGCAGGGAGUCGGGGGUUCAAAUCCCUCUGCCCCGACCA
rnacentral:tRNA from 1 species